GCUGGAAUUCAGACAGAGAGGUUCUGUGUCAAGGAGUCUCCCUGAAGAAAUCAUCUUUGAAGCUGCCUGACUUGGAUUAUCCUCAAGUAAAGGUUGAGUGGAAGGGUGCUGAAAGGUCCCUUCAGAAGGAGAUGACAUCUUGUUGAUUCCCCCUUCAUCUGGCCCAUCACCUGGGAAAUAAGCUAAGAACAAGAAAGAACAAUGAAGGACACAGAAUUGAUUACUUAAUCAGAGGGAGCUAGUAUGGAACAGAGAAAAAGGGAAAGUCAAUCUUAUUUUCUUUGAAGAGGCUUUGAAUCAAAGCCUUCAAUCAGAGGUAGGGGUUAUAGAUAGGGAAAUUCCUUUUCCUCUCUCCUUUUAUUUCCUUAUUCCCUUUUCCCAAAAGAAAAUA
rnacentral:lncRNA from 1 species